UGGGGAAUUUUCCGCAAUGGGGGCAACCCUGACGGAGCAACGCCGCGUGAGGGAAGACGGUUUGUGGACUGUAAACCUCUUUUAAUAGGGAAGAAUUUUGACGGUACCUAUUGAAUAAGCAUCGGCUAACUCCGUGCCAGCAGCCGCGGUAAUACGGAGGAUGCAAGCGUUAUCCGGAAUUAUUGGGCGUAAAGCGUCCGCAGGUGGUUAAUCAAGUCAGCUGUGAAAUAUUCGGGCUUAACUCGGAAUAUGCGGUUGAUACUGAUUGACUAGAGUACGGUAGGGGUAGAGGGAAUUCCUAGUGUAGCGGUGAAAUGCGUAGAUAUUAGGAAGAACACCAGUGGCGAAGGCGCUCUACUGGGCCUGUACUGACACUGAGGGACGAAAGCUAGGGGAGCGAAAGGGAUUAGAUACCCCCGUAGUCG
rnacentral:rRNA from 1 species